UACGUAGGGUGCGAGCGUUAAUCGGAAUUACUGGGCGUAAAGCGUGCGCAGGCGGUUUUGUAAGCCAGAUGUGAAAUCCCCGGGCUCAACCUGGGAAUGGCAUUUGGGACUGCAAGGCUUGAGUGCGGCAGAGGAGACUGGAAUUCCUGGUGUAGCAGUGAAAUGCGUAGAUAUCAGGAGGAAUACCGAUGGCGAAGGCAGGUCUCUGGGCCAAUACUGACGCUCAUGCACGAAAGCGUGGGGAGCAAACAGG
rnacentral:rRNA from 1 species